AUUAUUUGAGGACAGAACAGGCAUCUGUCGCACCACAAAUGUGGUUUGGAAAGAGAUGUGGGAUACGCCGCCCCACCAAAUAAU
rnacentral:ncRNA from 12 species